CCUACGGGCGGCAGCAGUGAGGAAUAUUGGGCAAUGGGGGCGAGCCUGAACCAGCCAAGUAGCGUGAAGGAUGACUGCCCUACGGGUGUUAAACUUCUUUUAUAAAGGAAUAAAGUGAAGCACGUGUGCCUUUUUGUAUGUACUUUAUGAAUAAGGAUCGGCUAACUCCGUGCCAGCAGCCGCGGGAAUACGGAGGAUCCGAGCGUUAUCCGGAAUUAUUGGGUUUAAAGGGAGCGUAGAUGGGUUUUUAAGUCAGUUGUGAAAGUUUGCGGCUCAACCGUAAAAUUGCAAUUGAUACUGGCAGCCUUGAGUACAGUUGAGGUAGGCGGAAUUCAUGGUGUAGCGGUGAAAUGCUUAGAUAUCACGAAGAACUCCGAUUGCGAAGGCAGCUUACUAAACUGCCACUGACAUUGAUGCUCGAAAGUGUGGGUAUCAAACAGGAUUAGAUACCCCAGUAGUC
rnacentral:rRNA from 1 species